rnacentral:lncRNA from 1 species
UUUUCAUCUCGCUGACAAAAAAUUAAUUUUAGCUUCCUAUUAUGUCAUACAAACAAUAUUUCUGUUACCUCUUCCUCUCACGUUGCUGUCAGCCCAGGUUGAAUAUUGAUUCCCAGACCACACGGAAGAGGAAACCCACACGGCGAAGUUCAGAAGCGUCCUGUUAGCGUAAAUGGCCGUUAAACCAGAAAGCUCCUACAUGCCGGAGCCCGGAGCUCCACUUCGCAGGUUUUUACCCUCAAGUCGCGCUGAUUAUCCUGGGAUGACAGGUUUAAAAGGAGAAGAAGCCUCAUCUGUUGAUCUUCAUCUGUUGCUAAGUGCCUGA